GAGGGUAUAGCUCAGUGGUAGAGUGUAUGCUUAGCAGGCACAAGGUCCUGGGUUCAAUCUCCAGUACCUCCA
rnacentral:tRNA from 1 species